rnacentral:rRNA from 1 species
UGGGGAAUAUUGGACAAUGGGCGCAAGCCUGAUCCAGCCAUGCCGCGUGAGUGAUGAAGGGCCUUAGGGUUGUAAAGCUCUUUCGCCGGUGAAGAUAAUGACGGUAACCGGAGAAGAAGCCCGCUAACUUCGUGCCAGCAGCCGCGGUAAUACGAAGGGGGCUAGCGUUGCUCGGAAUCACUGGGCGUAAAGCGCACGUAGGCGGAUCGUUAAGUCAGGGGUGAAAUCCUGGAGCUCAACUCCAGAACUGCCCUUGAUACUGGCGACCUCGAGUUCGAGAGAGGUUGGUGGAACUCCGAAGUGUAGAGGUGAAAUUCGUAGAUAUUCGGAAGAACACCAGUGGCGAAGGCGGCCAACUGGCUCGAUACUGACGCUGAGGUGCGAAAGCGUGGGGAGCAAAACAGGAUUAGAUACCCUGGUAGUCCACGCCGUAAAACGAUGGAUGCUAGCCGUUGGGGGGUUUGACCUCUCAGUGGCGCAGCUAACGCCUUAAAGCAUCCCGCCUGGGGAGUACGGUCGC